rnacentral:rRNA from 1 species
CUUCGGAUUGUAAAGCACUUUAAGUUGGGAGGAAGGGCAUUAACCUAAUACGUUGGUGUCUUGACGUUACCGACAGAAUAAGCACCGGCUAACUCUGUGC